rnacentral:sRNA from 1 species
CACCAAGACGACCCUGAUCCCACAACACUGGGGCAGAUCACCGAGUUAUUAUCCACCAUGCAACUCGACGAGGCGCCCGCGGUGAACAACCCUAUGAAGCGCCGAACGCCGCCUUCCUGUUAUUUGUCCGAGGAGCGCUCCCCCAAGAAGUGCGGCUUCUCCUCCGACCCCAUUCCGCCCAACCCUAACUGCUCCAUCCUUUGCGGCGGCCUUUCCAACCCUCUUUCGAGGAGAGCGUCAGCUCUGCAGCUGGGCGGGAUGAAUCCUGCUCCUGAAUCUGCGAAAUUGAAAAAAUUAAAAGAUGGAUUGAAAGAACUGCAAGAAAGAUGGGACAAACUUAUACAGGAUUUCGAGGAAACUGAAGAAAAUAUUGAAGAGAAAGAAGAACAGGAGAAAUACGUGCA